GCCCCGAUAGCUCAGCAGGUAGAGCACUCGGCUGUUAACCGAGCGGUCGGUGGUUCAAACCCGCCUCGGGGCG
rnacentral:tRNA from 1 species